rnacentral:rRNA from 1 species
GGAAUUUUCCGCAAUGGGCGAAAGUCUGACGGAGCAACGCCGCGUGAACGAAGAAGGCCUUCGGGUCGUAAGGUUCUGUUGUUAGGGAAGAUACCUUGACGGUACCUAACCAGAAAGCCACGGCUAACUACGUGCCAGCAGCCGCGGUAAUACGUAGGUGGCAAGCGUUGUCCGGAAUUAUUGGGCGUAAAGCGCGCGCAGGUGGUUCCUUAAGUCUGAUGUGAAAGCCCACGGCUCAACCGUGGAGGGUCAUUGGAAACUGGGGAACUUGAGUGCAGAAGGGGAAAGUGGAAUUCCAAGUGUAGCGGUGAAAUGCGUAGAGAUUUGGAGGAACACCAGUGGCGAAGGCGACUUUCUGGUCUGUAACUGACACUGAGGCGCGAAAGCGUGGGGAGCAAACAGGAUUAGAUACCCCAGUAGUC